CCUACAUGAAGCUGGAAUCGCUAGUAAUCGCGAAUCAGAAUGUCGCGGUGAAUACGUUCCCGGGUCUUGUACACACCGCCCGUCACACCAUGGGAGUCAGUAACGCCCGAAGUCAGUGACCCAACCGGAACCGGAGGGAGCUGCCGAAGGUGGGACCGAUAACUGGGGUNAAGUCGUAACAAGGUAUC
rnacentral:rRNA from 1 species